rnacentral:rRNA from 1 species
AACGAACGCUGGCGGCAUGCCUAACACAUGCAAGUCGAACGAGACCUUCGGGUCUAGUGGCGCACGGGUGCGUAACGCGUGGGAACCUGCCCUUAGGUUCGGAAUAACUCCCCGAAAGGGGUGCUAAUACCGGCUAAUGUCUUCGGACCAAAGAUUUAUCGCCUUUGGAUGGGCCCGCGUUGGAUUAGCUUGUUGGUAGGGUAAAAGCCUACCAAGGCGACGAUCCAUAGCUGGUCAGAGGGGAAGAUCAGCCACACUGAGACGGAGACACGGCCCAGACUCCUACGGGAGGGAGCAGUGGGGAAUAUAGCACUAGGGGCGAGAGCCAGAUCGAGCAAUGCCGCGUGAGUGAUGAAGGCCGGAGGGUUGUAAAGCUCUUUUACCCGGGAUGAUAAUGACAGUACCGGGAGAAUAAGCACCGGCUAACUCCGUG